rnacentral:rRNA from 1 species
AGCGGCGGACGGGUGAGUAAUGCUUGGGAAUAUGCCUUUUGGUGGGGGACAACAGUUGGAAACGACUGCUAAUACCGCAUGAUGUCUACGGACCAAAGUGGGGGACCUUCGGGCCUCACGCCAAGAGAUUAGCCCAAGUGGGAUUAGCUAGUUGGUAAGGUAAUGGCUUACCAAGGCGACGAUCCCUAGCUGGUUUGAGAGGAUGAUCAGCCACACUGGGACUGAGACACGGCCCAGACUCCUACGGGAGGCAGCAGUGGGGAAUAUUGCACAAUGGGCGCAAGCCUGAUGCAGCCAUGCCGCGUGUGUGAAGAAGGCCUUCGGGUUGUAAAGCACUUUCAGUAAGGAGGAAAGGUUAUACUUUAAUAGAGUAUAUCUGUGACGUUACUUACAGAAGAAGCACCGGCUAACUCCGUGCCAGCAGCCGCGGUAAUACGGAGGGUGCGAGCGUUAAUCGGAAUUACUGGGCGUAAAGCGUACGCAGGCGGUUUGUUAAGCGAGAUGUGAAAGCCCUGGGCUCAACCUGGGAACUGCAUUUCGAACUGGCAAACUAGAGUGUGAUAGAGGGUGGUAGAAUUUCAGGUGUAGCGGUGAAAUGCGUAGAGAUCUGAAGGAAUACCGAUGGCGAAGGCAGCC